AGGGUAAAGGCUUACCAAGGCAAUGAUGCGUAGCCGAAUUGAGAGGUUGAUCGGCCACAUUGGGACUGAGACACGGCCCAAACUCCUACGGGAGGCAGCAGUAGGGAAUCUUCCACAAUGGGCGAAAGCCUGAUGGAGCAACGCCGCGUGGGUGAAGAAGGUCUUCGGAUCGUAAAACCCUGUUGUUAGAGAAGAAAGUGCGUGAGAGUAACUGUUCACGUUUCGACGGUAUCUAACCAGAAAGCCACGGCUAACUACGUGCCAGCAGCCGCGGUAAUACGUAGGUGGCAAGCGUUAUCCGGAUUUAUUGGGCGUAAAGGGAACGCAGGCGGUCUUUUAAGUCUGAUGUGAAAGCCUUCGGCUUAACCGGAGUAGUGCAUUGGAAACUGGGAGACUUGAGUGCAGAAGAGGAGAGUGGAACUCCAUGUGUAGCGGUGAAAUGCGUAGAUAUAUGGAAGAACACCAGUGGCGAAAGCGGCUCUCUGGUCUGUAACUGACGCUGAGGUUCGAAAGCGUGGGUAGCAAACAGGAUUAGAUACCCUGGUAGUCCACGCCGUAAACGAUGAAUGCUAAGUGUUGGAGGGUUUCCGCCCUUCA
rnacentral:rRNA from 1 species